GGGGAAUUUUGGACAAUGGGCGCAAGCCUGAUCCAGCCAUGCCGCGUGCACGAUUAAGGUCCUCUGGAUUGUAAACUUCUUUUCUAAGGGACGAAAAAAGGUCUUUCUAGAUCGUCUGACGGUACCUUAUGAAUAAGCACCGGCUAACUCCGUGCCAGCAGCCGCGGUAAUACGGAGGGUGCAAGCGUUAUCCGGAUUCACUGGGUUUAAAGGGUGCGUAGGCGGGCAGGUAAGUCAGUGGUGAAAUCCUAGAGCUCAACUCUAGACCUGCCAUUGAUACUAUCUGUCUUGAAUAUUGUGGAGGUAAGCGGAAUAUGUCAUGUAGCGGUGAAAUGCUUAGAUAUGACAUAGAACACCUAUUGCGAAGGCAGCUUACUACGCAGAUAUUGACGCUGAGGCACGAAAGCGUGGGGAUCAAAC
rnacentral:rRNA from 1 species